rnacentral:lncRNA from 1 species
AGGAUAACUACCCCCAGCCCUGCUUCCCCUGUCGAGAUGCUGGAUUCCACCUCUGAACAUGGGGCCACCCUCCUUCCCACAUCACAAGCUACCUUGAGACUUUCUGAGAAGUUUAUCCUUCUCCUUAUUCUUAGUGCCUUCAUCACCCUAUGUUCUGGGCAAUUUCUUCCUUCCAGACUCCUCAAAAUACAAACACUUUGAUCUGGGUUUAGAAGAUGUAUUAAUUCUUCAUAUAGAUGCCCGCAAAGGGGCUAAAACUCCUGGAGUCUUCCUGAUCCAUGGACCUGAUGAACAUAGACACAGAGAAAAAGAAGACCACCAUCUGAGAAAUAAGAUUCAACCAGACUAUGAGAAGGCCCUGCAAGAAGCAAAAGAAAAAUUAAAGAAGUCAAAAGAGGAAAUACAAAUACAG